rnacentral:lncRNA from 1 species
GCUCCACUUCCUCCGAUCACCGGUAACUCCUUUCGUCCGUCUCCACUUUCAACUCUCCCUGAAACCACUAAAGUACUCCCAUUAAACCUUUCUUCAUUGAAGAUAAAGGUUAUCAGUACUGUGGUCGAAACUAUCUCCUUGGAGGUCAGUGAAAAAAUCCCCUGUGCUCUACCGACAACAUCAACCGUUGUUUCAGGGUCGAGAGUUAAUGGGUGAUCGAAAACGUAUGUAAGACCGAAUUGCGUGGCAGAAGAGUUGGUCGAGGCAGCUUGAGCUAUUGGUACUCCUGUUGGGUCUGGGCCAGUGAAGUUCUCUUUGAUGUAGAACUGAAGUUGAGUUUGCUUGAGUUUCGGAAGUUUGGGUGCAUCUUUCACUUCAACAACUAGUUGUUUUCCCUGGCAUAGGAACACGAAAGUUGUUGAAGAGACGGAAAGAAGGAAGAUCAGUAGGAUUGCCGUUGUUGACGCCAUUUGAUCGAGUUUGGAGUUUGAUGAGCAUGAUCGAUGUCUUGAUGUUAAAUUUAUAGCACACCACAACUUUGAAAAUUCAAGCGAAACGCACGCGGAUGUUGAAAAUUACAUGUUGACAAAAAUCAUAAAUCAGUUUUGAUUCCACCAUAUUUAUUCUCCUUAAUUUUGGAGAUCAAAUGCUCAAAUCAUGUGGUUUGUAGCACUUGUCACCAAUCAUUGAAUCAAUAAAUUGGAAUUCAAGAGCCAAACCGCCUAUCAACUAAGAAAUCUUCCUUGAGAACUGAGUGACUAAAUCCAACCAAUUCAUUUUCUAAAUUAUUUAUAUAUGUUCAGAUUUAAAAAAAUACAAUUUAUAAUUAAAUAUAUAAAAACAUCAAUUUUUUUGAAAUCGAUCUUAUGAAAUAAUAAUAAAUAUCAUUGAAGUUUCGACUUUUUCCACUCUUGUUUUUUAAGUAAUUAAAUUUCACUAAAAAAAAUAAAGGCAAUGUCUAAAUUACAUAGAGUAUAAAAAUAUAAAACAUAAAUAAAAAAAUAAACAAGAAGUUCAUUGACUCUCUCAUAUUAACUAUUAGUCUAGUUAUAUAAUAAUUAGAUACUUUGUCUCAGGGGUUAAUCUCUCAUACAUUUAUCAUAAAUAUCUCAAAAAGGUGACAACAUCUUUUUUUGUCACACUCUGGAUCAAAGAAGAGACCUGGGUCUAGCCGCGCGAAUGGACCGGACCCGGGAAAGUCUAAAAAGCUUGCGAACCUCUAGGGCUAACACUAUAAAUACCUCCCUUGAUCCAACAGAGGAGGAGGCGGACAGUUUGAAGAGAUAUUCCAAGGAGUUGUGUGUAUGAGCACUCAUCUGCGAGCCCACAUACCAUCAAGACUGAUGACCUUAAUGACCAACUUCUUGUAACACUCAGUCUUUUAACAACCAACUAUUUAUCUCUAAUCACGUCAUGUUAGCAAACUUUUGUGCCAAAUGAUAUAAUGGGUUUGAUUUUAUUUAUAAGACGAAAUUGAGAUUUCAUUAUUUGAAAACUAAAUAAAAACUCACAUUUGACCAUUCAAUAUUCAUCUAACGAUUAAAUAAUUUAAUAUUAAAUAUGAUACGUAAAAUUGCAUAUUUGGACUAUGAUUAAAGUUCUUAAUCGUUCUAAAAGACAAACAAAGUGUCAGAUAAAUUGAAUUAAGUGGUAUUCAUUUAUAAAAUUUUAUUUAUUUUGGUAUAACACUCCCUUAAUUAUUAUUAAUUAUUGGUUGUGAUGUUUCAAUAGUAGUGCCUAACAUAAAUAUUGUACAAAGGAAUUUCAAUCCCCCCACCAAUAUCUAUUGGUUUGAUAUCACAGUAUCCGGUGGCGAAUUUGAACACUCCACUUCCUCCGAUCACAGGUAUUUCCCUUAGCCCAUCUGCACUGUCAACUCUUCCGGCGACCACUAAACUACUCCCAUUAAACUUUUCCUCAUUGAAAAUCAAGGUCAUCAGAACUGUAGCCGAAAAUGUCUCCUUCGAGGUCAAUGAAAAAAAUCCCUGGGAUCUACCGACAACAUCCGUAGUAUUUUCAAGGUCUAGAGUUAAUGGGUUGUCGAAAGUAUAAGUAAGACCAAAUUGCGUGCUAGAAGAGUUGGUUGAGGCGGCCUGAGCAAUCACGACUCCGGUUGG